GCGGGUGUAGCUCAACUGGAUAGAGCGUCGGUCUACGAAACCGAAGGUUACAGGUUCGAGUCCUGUCAUCCGCG
rnacentral:tRNA from 3 species